GGUCCGCUGGCUUAAUGGCAGAGUGUCUGACUAGGUACGAAUCAGGAGGUUUCAGGUUGGACCCCUGGGAGAAUCG